rnacentral:rRNA from 1 species
AGGACGAACGCUGGCGGCGUGCCUCAUACAUGCAAGUGGAGCGACGAACCAGGAUUUAUCCUGGGGCAAAGCCGCGAACGGGUGAGUAACACGUGGGUUACCUGCCCCGAUGAUUGGGACAACCCGAGGAAACUCGGGCUAAUACCAAAUGUGCCCGUGGUUGUGAUGAUCACGAGGAAAGGAAGCUUCGGCCUCCGCAUCGGGAUGGGCCCGCGGCCCAUUAGCUAGUUGGUGGGGUAAAGGCCUACCAAGGCGACGAUGGGUAGCUGGUCUGAGAGGACGAUCAGCCACACUGGGACUGAGACACGGCCCAGACUCCUACGGGAGGCAGCAGUAGGGAAUUUUGCGCAAUGGGGGAAACCCUGACGCAGCAACGCCGCGUGGAGGAUGAAGCCCCUUGGGGUGUAAACUCCUUUCGAUCGGGAAGAUAAUGACGGUACCGAUAUAAGAAGCCCCGGCUAACUUCGUGCCAGCAGCCGC